CCAGCAGGGUGCACAGUAAUCAAGAUAAAUGGUAUUUUAGUGCAAUUAAAUAUUUAAUUUAACUAGUUUAUUUAUUUGAGAGAGAGAGAGGCAGAUGACAGAUGAACAGAGAAUCCAUCCACUGGUUCACUCUCCAGAUGCCCACAAGGCUGACACAUGAAGCCAGGAACUUGAUGCAGGUCUUCCAUGUCAGGGACAGGGACCCAACUACCCAGCCAUCACCUGCUGCCUCCAAGGGUGCACACUAACAGAAAGCUGGAAUUGGGAGAGGAGCCAGGACUUGAACCCAGGCACUGAUAUGGAAUGUGGGCCUCCCAGACAGCAUCUUAACUGUUAGGCCAAUGCCUAAAAAUAAAAAUUGAUGUGAAAAGUCCAUGAUGAAUAAAAUACAGAAUUCUAAGUGCAGAUAGGAUGCAAUCCUGUACUUCAUGACUGCUCACUCAGCUCAUCCUAGUCCCAGGCCCUUGGCUUUGUACUCAAAAAAAUGCCUGCUCUCAAAGCCCCAAACUUUCACUGGAGCAGCACCUGUGACUUUCAGUACACUUAGUGCUGGAGUGCUGCUGAGUUGUUCUUGUAGCUCUCCAGGAAUGUGUCUGGGCGGUGUCCAUUAAGCUCCAUCCUCCGCAUCUGCCCAUCUGCCCACCUGCCCAUCUGCCCACCUUGCCUUUGCCCAAGGAAUAGGUGUUGGCAGUGACCCAAAUGUUCCAGCAGGUGGCACUGUUGCUCCAAUCAACUGUCCCUGAAAAGUGGAUCCUGUGGCUGAACCAGAGAUUUAAAGUAGUCACUAAGUUGCGGCUAUUUUUCAAAAGCCUUGAAAGAAUCCUGAGCAGCAGCUGGGGGUAAACAGUGAUGCGACGUGAAGAGGACUGGAGGAAUAUUCUGGAAAGCUUGGAGCAAGGUAAGCAGGGCCAGAUUAGUAACCCCAAGCUGGGCUGCUCUUUAGCAGGUGAGAAAAAUGAGAAUUGUAACCCCCCCUCCCACUUUGUUCUCAGAUACAAGAUAAACACACGUGACAGGGUGAGAACUAAGGGGCUGAAGGUUCUCCUCCAGGUAUGGCCUGGUGGCAACAGCUCAGGCGGCCCGCGGGACCGAGCUGGAGCGCUGGCUCCGCUGCUCGCUAGCUGCGAUCUUGGCCCCAGGACCGGGCUCUGCCAGGCCUGAGAUUCUUCAUCUUUAAAUGGGGAUUAUUGCGGCCGCUCCCCUGAGGGCGGUUAGAGGAUUAAACAAACAGAGGCACACAAGGCUAUUUGCAGGCUGCCUGGCACUUACUAUGCAUUCGGCAGAGGAGAGGCGUUGCCCUCCACCAAGGCUGCGUGGCUCGCUUCCUGGGCCUGCCGGCCUUCUCCCCCUGUCUGCUGCAUUGAUUAAAGGAGAUGCCCUUCGAGUGACCCAGAGAAAUACCUUGAUAAUGAACCAUGGCUUCAGCAGAGUCAACCAGAAGAAUUUCCCACCUGGCUAGAGUUUCACAGGUGUAGUUUUUGAACCAGGAAGCCAGGCUGGGUUCCUGAGCUCCCCUGCAGAGCCGUCCUAGCCUUUGUGACUUGGGGACAUCUGACCACCAGGUGGCUGAUCCCACCUAAGCCAGGCAUUGUUGCAGAAAUCACCGGUGGACAUGGAAGUGGACCCGAACCUUUCCGUUCCCUCAGCCCAUUUCCUAACUGUUCUGAAAUCUGAAUUCACUGAGAUGCUCCAGGUUGUUCUUCAAUAUCGGUGAUACUGGUAAUAGUUCCUGUUUAUCGAGGCUUAUUUUGUGUCUGUGGCUUUAGUGAGCAUUUUGCAUACACAGGCUCAUUGAGGCCUGUGAACCACCUGGAGAGGUAAGUGAACCCAUUGCACAGGCAAGUAAAUGUAGGUUUAGGAAAGCUUAGUACCUUAUGAGGGCUUCCUCAGCCAGGAGUUGGUACACAUUUAGGUCUACCUGACCUCUUUUAUUUUUCCUUACUUUUGUUUUCUUUGAAACACACACACACACACAAAGAGACAUCUUCUAGGUGCUGACUCACUCCACAGAUGCCAGCAACAGCCAGGGCUGGGCCAGGCUGAAGUCAGGAACCCAGAACUCAAGCUGAGUCUCCCAUGUGGGUGGCAGAGACCAGAUACUGAGCCAUCAUCUGCUGCCUCCCUGGGUGUUCAUUUAGCAGGAAGAUGGAAUCGUAAGCAGACCAGGACUUGAACCCAACACUCUGAUGUGGGGUUUGCGAGUUCAAAGAGGCAUUUUAACCAGUGCAUAAAACACCUGCUCCUAUCUGACUUUUAACUCUGCCUCCCAUCCACCCUUCCAUUCAUCCAUCUGUCCAUCUCCCUCCCUCCCUCCCUCCCUCCCUUCCUUCCUUCCUUCCUUCCUUCCUUCCUUCCUUCCUUCCUUCCUUCCUUCCUUCCUUCCUUCCUUCCAGCUGUCCCUCCAUCUACUACCUGGUUAAACACAGCUAUUCAGACCUAAUUAAAGCAAGUUCCCUGAAGCCCCUUAGGGUGUAGGAAAAUUUUUGUUGGCCUGAAUGAGGGUUCUUGCUUUAAAAUAUAGAUACGUGAGUGGACUUGAAAAAGUUUGUGGAAAAAAUAGAAUUAAAAGACAAGCUUAUUUUGGUGCAAAAACAUUGGAAUCCAUGCAUACUGUUUCAUAAUAUGAACUAGCUGUGUGCUUUCAGAAGAGGCCUGGUAUGCAAGGCUGUGCCUCUGCAGGUGCACACAGCUUGUGACUUUCUAAGUAGCACACUCUUACCUUGGGCACCGCAGCUGGGCUGUGAGCCUCUCUUGUUCCUGCCACACCUCUGGGAUUCCCUAGAGAGAGUUUUGUGCUGUGUUGGCUCACUGGGGAGGACAGCCAGACAACGUCAUUCUCCGUUCUAUCCUGGGAUCCCUUGGCUGGCCUGGGACAAGCUAGUUGGCCAGAAUGUUCUCACUUGUCAAUGGGUUGCUGUUGGACAAGAAAGGAUGUGUCAGAACAAGAUCAGCUUGACCUUGGCCUCAGAGAGAAGAGCAAGUGCUGUCUUCACAAAGGGAAAAAUGUCACCAGCCACCCAAAACCUGGUUUCACAGUGCCCAGCUGGAGAAGACAGCCACAGGUCUGAAGCUUGGAAAAUACAGUUCCUGGGGUCAGCUGGGAGCCAGUGUGGAGAACCUAGAGUUCCUCUCACAGCGUGUUUGUUUUCUUCCCCCCUAAUGCAGUUCUUAGCCUCCAACUUCCUAUUGUAGCUCAAUUUCCACUAACAAAAUUGUCUCUAUUACAGGAGCCCCACACAGAAUCCACUGUGCUGGAAUGAGGGCACUUCAAUUAGUCAAUUAGGGAGUUAGCUCUUUCCUGGACUUAAAAACCAUUUUGUCAAAUUAUUUCAAUGAAAACAGGGUUGACUGUAUUUAGUAGCUUUAUUUUAAAAAGUCACUUUUUGGUUACAUUGUUACAAAUUAAUUUGAUCUUAAAUGUCAGUACAGUUUAUGGAUUAAGAAAGAAAAAAAUUUUUUUUCAGAUACAGAUCCUUUUAUUAAAACAUAAGCCAAAAGAGUAUAGUAAACUAUGGAAUACUGCCAUUCCUUUGGGAGGUAGAUGGAAUGAGAAGGCUUCUCCUGCCUUGAAUGUCUGCACAUCUCCAUGUGGAAUGGCUUGCAGGAAGAGGCAGCACCUUGCUCGUGUCUUCACCCUCAGCGGCUGGCCUACACUUGACCGGGGUCUUCAGACUACAAGUGUUAUUGAUUGGGGACAGGCGUUUGGUACAGUGGUUCAGUCACCACUUGGACACCUACAUUCCAUACCAGAGUCCUUGGGUUCAAAUCCUGGCUACUCUGCUUCCAAUACAGCUUCUUGCAAAUGCCUGGGAAGUAGCAGGUGAUGGCUCAAGUACUUGGGUCUCUGCCACUUGGGUCCCUGUCCUUCCCCCACCUGGGAAACACUGAUUGAGUUCCAGGCUCUUGGCUUUGGCCCAGCCCAGUCCUGACUGUUGACGGCAUUUGGGGGAUUGUACUUAGUAGGUGGGAGACCUCUUCACUCUCUUUGCCUUGCAAAUAAAAUAAAAAUAAAUAAAUAAACAAGUGAACAAGCUAAAGUUUACUAAUUGGAAUUAAGACCUGGUACAGGAUUCUCCUUUAUCUGAUUCUGUGAAAUGAGAUGGGUCAGUCUUUUGUCCUUUCCAUUCCCGAUCAAUACCAGCUUCCUUGCUCAGAAAGCACAGCUAAGUAGCAUCACCAGCAGAGGGGGAAGAGAACACAGACCCCACCCCUUCUCGUUUUGUUACGGACCACGGAGAAAGCCCCUGACCUCUGCUGAGCCGCAGGUCUGAGCACCUGCUCCAGUGGGUUGGAAGCUGUGCAUUCACAGCUUCCCACUUAAUCCCCAGAAAGUCACAAAGCCUCUCAUGUCAUCGCCCUUUAAAGAUGCGGAAACUGAGUCUUAGCAUGCCAGGUAACUGGCGCCAGGCGUGGCGCUGGGGUUCACACGUGGGACUUGCAAAUGGAAGCUCUUUGCGUGAUGCCAAAGCGCCUCCUGACAGCAGGGACCCGUGUGGCCGGGGGGCAGCCAGGCUCCAACUCAGAAUGACACCCCGGGUUCGCAGCUUCAUGAGCAAGGCCGUGUCUAGGGAGCCAGCCUGAGCGCUCCAAAACGGAGCUGGCUCGGGACUGAAUAACCAGUUUCGCGUUUGAGGUGGUUUUGAGUAGGAGGGACUCGAAGGCUUGUCUAGAUGGAAGAUACUAACUUAUUCCUGUUGAUUUUUUUAAAAAAAUGAUUUAUUUAUUUAUUUGAAAGGCAAAGUUACAGAGAAAAAAGGAGAAAGAGGUCUUCCAUCUGCUGGUUGGUUCACUCCCCAAAUGGCCGCAACGGCCGGGGCUGGGCCAGGCUGAAGCCAGGAGCCAGGAGCUUCUUCUAGGUCUCCCAUGUGCUUGGGUGCAGGGGCCCAAGGACUUGGGCCAUCUUCCACUGCUUUUCCAGGUUGUUAACAGGGCACUGGAUUGGAAGUGGAGCAGCUGGGACUUGGAUCAGUGCCCAUAGGGGAUGCUGGCACUGCAGGUGGUGGCUUAACUGCGCAUUUAUUUUAAAAGGGCCCUAUCUAAAGCUGCUGAGGUCUGCUUAAGUCUGACAUAGGAAGACAGGUGAGUUGCAAGCACGUCGAUGAGAAAGUCAUUUCCACCUGUCAAAAGAGCCCAGCGAGGCCUCAUAGGUUCUACUUACAGCCUCAAAAAGAAAACCUUAUUUCUAGCCCCACCCCCCACCAUGCCCCGGUAGUGACUCUAAUUAAAUUUCUGUUGAGCAUUUUAAAAAAUCCGAUUUGCAUGCCGCUAAGAAGUGCCAUGAAUGUCUUGUUAAGGUGCCCAUUUCCUGCCCUCAUGCAACCCCGCGAGGUGGUGAGCUCCUGGUUUAAUCCUUGUCUUUGCCUCCUGCACGGUCAUCAGCCAUCUCUGAGCCAGAGAACCCAGUUAACCCAUCAGGAAAGCAGGGCCUGGUGGGGAGCUGUGAGGGUCUGAGGCGCAGGGGUUCCUCCGCCAGGAGCUCCCUUGUUGAAUCUGGCUGCUUACAGACUCCCAGGACCGUCCUUGGUGCCAGGGGAUCCCAGGUGCUGAGUUGAUUACUCAGCCCAUUUCAGUCGCCAGGUGAGUUGAGGCCAGUGUUUCUCCUUGGCGUGGCAAGUGGAAAGGAGCGAGGGAGUGACAAGGAGAGACUAGGGGAUGCCACAAGGCAGGCCCACGGCUUGCUCAGUGGCCCUCAGCAGGUCAAGGACAUUCAGCACGAAGCUUGCAGGUAGGACAACGCAAGAGCUAGGUUGGUUUUACUGCGUCCCCACUCUCACCACCUGGAAAGGGUCUCUGGGCAUGUUUUAUACAGGAAAUCCAUCUCACAUCUUGAUGCCUUGAGCUUCCAUUGGGUUCCUUUGAGAGAACUCUCUGGAUUGGCUGCAUACACAGCGGCCUUUAUUCCCACGGCCCCGGCGAGUCUGGGGUCAAGGCGCUGACAGGGGUGGUCCCUUCCAAGGGCAGAAGGGCCUGCUCGCAGCCUUCCUGCUAACUUCUCGGGAUUUGCUGGCACGGUUGGCCUUCCUUGAUGUGCAGAUGUGGCGAAGAGAUCGCGGCUUUCAUCUUUACCUGUUCACGUUUCAGAAGGGCACCAUGAUCCCCAUCUUGAAACUGACUCAUCUGCAGCGUGCGGUGCUGGGGUUAGGACUUCAACACGUGCAUUUUAGGGAACACAAUUCACAGUGCAACCCACGAGCCUCCCUGUAGCACUUCUUCACCAGUGUCUGAAACCGGAGCCGUGGUCAUCCAUCUACUUGCUUCCCUGGGGUUAAACUGAAAUCCCUGGGAGCUCUUGGGGGAAAUGAUGCCAGGAUGCCCAGCAAGACUGCAAGACCCUGGGAAAAUAGCAUCGCCAAGGCGCUUGGCUCUAAAAACAAGUUGAUUACAGAACGUGUUACAACGUUCAUGGGUCCAUAUGCGGUAUAGGGAUGUGUCGGAGAACUAGAAUGGGUAGCAAAGGAUCAUUUAUUCAUGUAUGACUCUGUAGGGUCCAGAUACUCUUUCUUCCUGAUCUUCCUUGCCAAAUGCAUUGUUCACAAGUGCUCUGGGCACCUGGUUAAUUUUGUUUCUCCUCCCAUUUUUCUAAGAGGAAGGUGGCAACGCUGUUAUUACAGUGCCAUGGCUUCUGGGAAUAGGUUCGUAACCCAAGAGGACAGAGCUGCUCCCUUGUUGAUGGUGAGCUGACUCCUCCAGUGGGCUCCCUGGGCUCCUGUGCCUCCCCUUGGGUGAUGGACAUGAAACGCCACUCUUCCCCAGUAUGCAAGGAUUGUGAAGGGGAAUUCUUUCCUGCCAGUAAAUGUUUUCCAGCAUGAGUGUAGACUGUCUUCACCUGAGUUGUGAACACACCAGGCUGUCAUUACUAUCUACCUGGAGCUCUUUCCUGGGGACUGUGCCGCCUGCCACGUGGCACCGCCAGCCCUGCAGGCAGCUAUCUGUGGGAUGAUGGACAUGUGUGGCCCUGCUCCUGCAGGUAUCUGCCCUGCUUGGCUGGCAGGAGCAGCAUCACAUCACCACAUCAGCAGGAGAUGAGAGAGGACGUGGGUCAGCAGGGCCCAUUGUGUUGAGGAGCAGCAGCCUGGAGAGCUCCUGGGAAGACCCUGGAGCCUGAGGCAGAGGGGAUCCCACAGUGCCACUCCAUCAGCGCCUGAUUGGCUCCUCACCCACACUGGUGGCAGACAGCGCUCUGGGGAACUAGGACAAACUGCAUCACCGGGAAAAAUAUUGCCACCAUGGUCGCACCUGGCCAAUGGGCCUAAAUACCAGUGUGGAGAGUUCAGAGACAGCACUAGCAUCUCCAACCCUCUGCUGCAGGCUGUCUCGUCUGCCGUGGACCACACGCUGAUUCCACUGGGGACCCCAGGGGUGCAGCAGAGCAAUCCCCAGGGUGCGUAAAACUCGAAACUCAAGAGGAACUGUGCACAUUCGUCCCACCUGGAGGUGUGAAGUGUGGGCGUUUCAGGGUUCUCUUGGAACAGGCGUUUGGCCCAGCAGCUAAUGAGCUGCUUAGGACACCCCUAUCCCACAGUGGAGCGCCUCGCUUUGCUCUCGACUCCAGCUUCCGGCUGGUGUGCACCCUGGAGUUGGGCCCCUGCACCCACACGGGAGACCUGGAUGGAGUUCCCAGCCUCUGGCUUCAGCCUGGCCCAUUCCAGGCAGGAGUGGACAUUUGGAGAAUGAACCAGUGGGGAGGAGAGAUUCCCUCCCUCUCUCUCCCCACUCUGCCUUGCAAGUAAACAAAAUAAAUAAAUAAAAAUGUUUUAAAAAGUGA